CAUUGUGACGUCACGUAAAAUAAGCUGACGACACCUUUUUACUAAUCGCUUCAAAAUGAAUUUUAUAGGAAUAGCGUAGCUUAUUUAAAGUGAUUUGUGUUUAAAUCAAGACUAAAGACAAAAUUAAAACGUGUAUUUGUGAUAUUUCGUGUUAGUGCGAAGAAAUUUAUUAUAAGUUCGUGACAGCGAGUGAUGAAGGCAGGAGAAAAUGGCGAUGUUCGAACGCAUGUUGAUAACCAGAAAACAUUUAGUAAUAGCUGAUAAAUUCAACCUCGUCCGCAAAAUUGGCGGCGGGAGCUUUGGAGACAUCUUCUUGGCGAUAUGCAUUUCAGACGGAGAGGAGGUAGCAGUUAAGGUGGAGAGCAUAAAGGCUCGGCACCCACAGCUGUUAUAUGAGAGUAGAGUGUAUAAGAUGCUCCAAGGCGGUGUUGGAAUACCACAUAUAAGAUGGUUUGGAUUCGAACGGGACCACAACAUUCUGGUGAUGGACUUACUGGGUCCCUCACUUGAGGAUCUCUUUAACUUCUGCUCACGGCAGUUUACUAUCAAGACUGUACUCAUGUUAGCAGAUCAAAUGCUGGGUCGCGUAGAGUUCAUCCACUGCAAGUGUUUUAUUCACCGCGACAUAAAGCCGGACAACUUUCUUAUGGGCAUCGGACGUCACUGCAACAAGCUCUAUAUGAUCGACUUCGGUCUUGCUAAGAAAUACCGGGAUCUGCGCACACGCUCUCACAUUUCAUACCGCGAGGAUAAGAACCUCACCGGUACUGCUCGGUACGCAUCAAUCAACGCGCAUCUUGGCAUUGAGCAGUCGCGGCGGGAUGACAUGGAGUCGCUUGGCUACGUCCUUAUGUACUUUAAUAGGGGAUCGCUGCCGUGGCAAGGUCUAAAGGCCAUCACCAAGAAGCAGAAGUACGAACGUAUCAGUGAGAAGAAGAUGUCUACCCCCGUCGAGGUGCUUUGUAAGGGCUUCCCAGCGGAGUUCGCGAUGUACUUGAACUACUGCCGCGGUCUCACCUUCGAGGAGUCUCCCGACUAUAUGUAUUUGAGACAGUUGUUCCGUAUCCUGUUCCGCACGAUGAGCUACCAGUAUGACUACACGUUCGACUGGACCGUCUUGCGCCAGCGCAAGCAGCACAAUGAGUCUGCUACUCUCGGGGCAGCCGCUGGCGCAGCGCCCGACCGACGCUCGCCCUCUGUGCAGCGACGCCAGCCAGCGCCGCAUCCACAGCCGCCGCCCAUUAGCGAUGUAAAAUAAGUCAUUUAGAAAAAUUAAACCGACCUCGAAAGACCUGGCAACAUUAUUUAUAUAGUGAAAGAGAUUAGAACGUUCGGCAGCGGCAGGCGGCCCGGCGAGGAAGCGAGCGCGAUAGCGUCUUGCGACGUGUGUCAGUUGUCAGCUGUCACGUGGUGUGACGUGGCCGUGUGUACGCUGCCGGCGUAGUGCUGCGGCGAUGCGACGAUACCGGCUACGACUAUUGAAGUGCGCAUUAUAGUGUUGCGUAACGAGCCGUUAGCUACAAUUGGCAAAAUUUGACCAGUGCAGUAUUACUGCUUCUGAUUUCUAAAUAAAUCCUAACGACCUUUGUAAAUCGCGGUUAAAUGUUUGUUACCAUGGUUACGAUUCCUAUGAAAAGAAUAGCCACCAUGUUAACUAAUACCGUACUAACGUACACCCCCGAAUUCAAUUGAGUCGUAAAAUUUAACAGUCUCCCUGAACAUAGCGCUAUGUCGGGCAAGUCAUAUUUGAACUAGUGAUGCGCAAUAACUAUUGGAUCGACUGGUUUUGAUUCCCAAAUCGUCAGUGCCUAUAAUGGCCAAUCUGUAGCUAACGGCCGUCUAGUUCUAGUGACGAACGCGUGGUGAUCGUGCCCUUAGGAACACGAGUGGAUUUGUGCGGCAAUAACCGCCAAUGAACACUAUUAUUUUUUAUUGAGGCCUUUAAUUUAAAUAGUAUAGUGAUUACAGUCCCGUAUUUAGCUUCAGUGAUUAACCAACCUGUCCAUGAAUAUUUCUUAUGUUUUUUUGUAACAUUUAUUAUUUAGAAACUUAUUAGUCCAUCGAUUUUUAUAUUCAUUGACAUGUAUAAACGUUGUGCCCCUAUUCUCACGAGCGCACGACUCGCUUUUGGACUGAACGCAAAAACAAUGUCGUGUGACUAACGUGCGGCGGGGGGCUAUUAAUUAAUUGAUAGUUCGAUAAUUCUUGAAUGUUAGUUUUAUCCUUAUUAGCUAGUGUUUAUUGAAUUUUAGUACGUGGUAACGGUCGCGAGCGAUUAUGAUACUGUAAUUAACAAAUUUUAAUGUAAAUAAAAAAAUAGGAAUAUUCAUUUAUAGAUGCCUAACGAGAUGGGCUUGUAAAAUACUUGGGCUACUUAAAGUACUGUCAUAUCGAGCAGCGCCUACGUUUGACUUGUGGAUAAAUACGUGUGUGCUCGCGGGCGAUAUCAAAUUCGGAUUGUUUCAGACAACUGUUAAACACCAAUGUAAUGUGACAAUCUCAAUGUUUUGCUUCUCUCACAUCUCAACUCCAAAUGAGAUUGCGAAAAAUGAGGUGUUCGCUGAAUGCACUAGAUGGAUAUCGAAAGGUUAUUAACUAAUAAUAUAAUAGGUUUCUUGUAUUAAAAUGCGAAAAAUUGUAAAAAAAAAACAAAAAAAUAGCAUAGGACUUAAGAGAAUAUGCCGGCGCGUCCCGUAACAUGUAGGCUCAUUAUUUUUUCACACUUUCGUUAACAUUGCAUAUAUGUAGGACGCGACGGACUUCGGUACAAUUGUAUCGUAUAUUUUAACUGCAGGAGUUUUGUAAAUACAAGAGUGUUUUAACUUUUAUUUUUAAUAGUGUGUUUGUGUCGGCUAAUGGAUGCGCACGAGUCAAUGUACGUGUGGUAUCUACGUCACUGCCGACAAGUGGUCUCGCUUAAACGGCUGGUUUUCACCACAAUUUUUUUUGAUAGCCCUAUACAAAUGUGUUAUGGUCUUUAGAAAAAGCAUACAAUAUUAAAUAAAGAACCCAACCGACGUAUAAGCGAGUCUCGACUGAUGCUGGAUUAAUGAAUAAUUAAUCAAAUUAUAUUCAAUUCAUUGAUUAAUACAGCAGUAUUACAUUUUUAGUUUGAGUGGUUAACGGAGACAAAGAGAGCCCAUACAAUGACUGGAAUCUGUGACCAAUUUCAUUUCAUCUCGUGAUAAUACGGAUCUCACUAUUCCUGAUGUUGAAAAUAAGUUACUUCAUGCUGAAUUUGAAAGUCGAAUUGUCUCCCAUGUUUAAUGUACUGCACUUAAUAAAUUAAAUAACUAUAAACAUA